UAGCCUGACGGCUGAACCAGCAACUUGGAGGAAUGUAUAUUGACUACGUCAAAUAAAGUUCUAGGUAGAAUAUUGAUAAUGACAAUUUUUUACUUAUAUGUCUUGACCAAAUCACGUGCCAGCAGUCGCGGUAAUACGUGGAAGACUAGUGUUAUUCAUCUUUAAUAGGUUUAAAGGGUACCUAGACGGUAUUUUUAGCCCAACACUGGGGACUGAUUUACUAGAGUUUAAAUGUGAGAAGGAUAGUAUUUUUAGUGUAGAGAUAGAAUUCUUUGAUACUUUAAGGACUGGUAAGGGCGAAAGCGACCUUCUAUGUAAAAACUGACGUUGAGGGACGAAGGCCUGGGGAGCAAUAAGGAUUAGAUACCCUAGUAGUCCAGGCAGAAAAUUAUGAAUGUCACAUACUAGAUUAAUUUAGUGUGUAAAUAAAAGUGUAAGCAUUCCACCUCAAGAGUAAUGCGGCAACGCAGGAACUGAAAUCAUUAGACCGUUUCUGAAACCAGUAGUGAAGUAUGUUAUUUAAUUCGAUGAUCCUCGAAAAACCUUACCACAAUUUGUAUAUACACAAGCGCUGCACGGCUGUCUUCAGUUAAUGUCGUGAGAUUCUGGUUACACCUCAAAAUUAACGUAAACCCUUGCUUUAUUUAGUUAUUUUAAUAAAGUAAUUGACCGCUAUAUUGGAUAUGAUAAAAGGGACUAAGACAAGUCAUCAUGGCCUUAAUAUUGU
rnacentral:rRNA from 1 species